UUUCUGAUGCUUCACUUGAUUUGAAACAGUAUUUCCUUGCAUUCCAUUUAGUAUAGAAAAUGCACCAUUUCACAUGUGGAAAUGGUAAUUUUUUUCUAAUGACAUCACAGAAACUUGUGAACUAAAGGCAUUUAGGUGCCCUCUUUCUAUUGUCCUGAAAUAUGACCUGACAUGAAAUAUGUUUUAUGGAGAACAUAAAAGGUCUGUGGAUCAUAUGUUGAAAUAAAUACAUGGUCAAUGGCAAUCUGAUGCAUCUUAAGUAAUUAUUAAGUGUACUUUUAAAUUUGACAAUUCUCACUAUAGGUGUUUACCAUUACAUUGUAUUUGCCUUACUGGCUGAGAAACUCAAAACAGCUGCUCAUUGACAAACACAGAUUUGUGAGACGUUUCUUAGCAGGAAGGGGUUUUGCGUGGUUCAGAGGCACUGGGCUAGUGUGAGCAGGGGGUGUUCUGGGGCUGUUAAAAGGGGUUGGGAAGUCCUUACUGAUUCCUGUUAAUAGCUGUUUGCCAGAGGUCCAUUCCAUAACGCUGGGCUUCAAAGUUAAGGAGAAUUCAAUUGAAAUCAAUAUCCUAUUUAUAAAAUAUCUUGGAAAAAAGCUCACUAUCAUGCUAUAAUGUGAACUGACCAAGUUCAAUGGGCUUGUGGUUACAGCUGGGAUGUCACAUUUGCAGGACACGUUCUGCUACAAGUGGCUGUAUUGACCAGGAAAAUCUACCUAUGACUUGGGGUUUGAUGUGCUUGACUAUCAAGUGAUUUUGUUGUAAGCUUCAGUGAAGAAAUCAGCCAGUACUGAAGAAGUUGCAGAACAAAUGGCUGGGGUAACAGGUAUCCCAAGGAGAAAUGCUUGGCUGAAUUGUGUCUGUGGAGAGAGAUUUAGCCAAGGAGAAAGACAGUGGAUUCAGUCAAGCUUAUUGAAAUGGGCUGAGAGGCUGACUGUGGAUGUAAUAAUGACUAAAAUACUAUGACAGAAGUAUUCUGGAGGGAUAAUUUUUUUUUUUUUUCAGGGGUGACAACAAUAUCUGAAAUCAGAAGCUUUCCUGCAAGGAAUAAAAAGAUUCUGAUUACUGGUCUGAGCUUUUCAUUGCUAUUUGGCAGACCUUUCUACAUAGUCUGUGGGUCACAGUCCAGUAACCUCAAGUCUCUGAGGUGAUAAAUAGGAAAUCCUGAAAAAGAACACUUUCCCUCAGGAACUUAACUGGGGAGGGUGUUUCUUGCUGCAGCUGGGGUUAGUCUGUUGUUGUGGCAUACAUUCUCAGAAGUCGCUGUCGGCUGCACCAUCUCUGAACUGCUAAAACUAUAUUGCUGAGCCCAUAAAAGUGUUUUUAGUUAUGCAUUUACACUGCUGCUUUUUUCUUUGUACUCCUACUUGUUCAGCACUUGUGAAGGGAUGGUAUGAUAGCAGGGAGCAGGGGAGCGUUUGGGCCAGUGCUCCUUGUCAGACUAUCAUCAGUUAGGAUGCAGUUUCUCUCAAUACCUGUGUAUAUGGAUGGAUAAAGAAAGUGUAUGUAUAUACAGCUCCAUGAAAUACCAUGUUAGCAUCCAAGCAUUGUAAAGCCAUAUUUUUUGCCACUUGAAGAUGGAAAAUUAGUACUGCAUCUGAAGCACCCAACAGAAAAGGCUUGCUCAAGGCUUCUCAGGAAACUCACUGUGGAACUUGGAUUGUAAGCUGUGAUUCUGUCCUUAGUGAUUUCCACCAGUGUCAUCUCCUCUCUCUGUGGGGGGAAAGCAGAACCCUCUGCUCUGAAGCAGUUGAUGCUGUGCAUGCUCUUUGCUCCUGUAAUGAUUGUAUAGGGCCCAAACUAAACAUGAUCUGACUUUGCAUAUCUCAGCUGUGCCUGUAACAUGUCCGCUAUUUUUGCUUAUAGUAGCUGUGCAAAGCAGGCAGUCUGCUGUGUGCCUGACCGAGCUGUGAGUGCUAGAGAGCGUGUGGGUGCUGGAGUGCCCCUUCCCCAUUGUUGAGUUCUAACCUGGUACAAAGGCGUGUGAGUGGCUUCUUGUGCCUUUUUUCUAGGUAACAGUUAUAAGGAGACCUGAUUUUUUCUUUUUUUUUUUGGAUGGAUGUCUGAGUAUUGACAAAAUGGUUAACUGGGGGUGGGUGUGUCUUGGGCUUUUUGUGGUGUUUUUGAUGUUUGUCAUGAUUGUCUUAGUAUUGGGUAUUGUGUGCAUUACUCAUCUCAUAGGAUCCGCUUAGUCCUUUACUUCAGCUUGAUUCAAUGCAAGAUUUUUAGUUACUGUUGUGAUCAGAGAAUUGUGGGACUUAGACUUCUGGAAAAGAUGAUCUUCUGCUUAGAGAGUAACCAAAGCUGAAACCAGUGCUCAAAGCAAAUAUUUUAGUAGUGCCCAGUCAUUAUGCUGGUUUCUGAAUGUAGAGAUUUUAUACAUUUCAUGAUGUUACUUGCCAGAUUUUUUUUAAUUGUUAUAUUUGUGGUCUAAAACUUGGCUGACUGCAGUCUGAGGAGUGUGUUCUCAAUGAUCUGGCAGUUCAGUCUGUCUGCAUUUAGCAUGAGUAAUAGGGCACACACCUUUUGCCUGUGUUUUGUUGUUAAAACCAUCCAGAAGAUGACACUUUCUCCUGCACCUAUCUGGAUCUCAACUUGAAAUGUUAUGGUGACAAUGAUAAUGCUGUACUUGUCCUCAAAGUUGUUCUCUUCCAGAAGGAAAUGAUAGGCUAAAUAGUCUGCUUGCUUCCUUAUGAUGAUUAACUCUGAUCUUGUAUACCUGUGGGCCUAAUAGCUAGGUAAUGCUUUACUGUAAGAAGCAAUUAUCCAAUUUGCUUUUCCAUUUAUUGUUGCUUAACCUGCUCAUGUUUCAUAACAAGUGUUUUUGCUUAAAUUGAUACAGCUUGUUAAAAGCCUUAAAAAAGGCAAUGGAUGUGUAUUUACUGGGUUGUAUUAUCUAUUGUGUAAUUUAUUUUUAGAAUUUGGAAGACAGUUUUUCACUCACACUGGGUUGUAGCAAAAGCACCUUGCAGCUGGUUUGCCUGCUGCUGAGGGAAAGGCUUGCUGAAGAGAGUGUAUGUUUUCUAGCUGGCCAUUGUACAGAUCAGCAAAUCUUCAGUGCAUGCUCAGAAAGCUUGGAUUUUCUUUGGAUGGAUUUUCAUUAUGGCCCUGUUACUGUUAUUUACAAUCUAAAAGAAAGCUUCCAUUCAUAAGGAUUACUGCAUCUGCGAAGGAUGAAGAAUAAGCGGGGAUGAUGAACUCCAGCGGUCGUGAAUGGAUAGAUUGUCCCUGGCAUUUGUUCAGUUGUCAGUAUAUUGUGAAGUAUUUGGGCUGGAAAAAAAUGUUAGCUUUGGGUAACAUACUUGUUUUAUUAAAAGCACAGUAAAGUACUCGAAGAGAGUGUAUUCUGAGACAGCAUGUGAUGUACUAGCAUAUCUUCUGAAGUGUGAUUGAUUGAUUAAUUUCUCACUAAAAGCUUGUAACUUUAGACUUUAAUUCUAUUUUCCAUUGCUAACUGCGCUUGUCUUGUCAGACAAGCCUUAUCGAAAAGACUUUCUCAAUUCUGAGUGGAAUGCUGCUUUGUAUUGUGCCGGGAGCACUGAAGAAGGAAGACCUUGCUGUACUGGCUGAAGACCAGAGUUGAUUUCAGAGUCUGAAAUGUUCCCUUGUGUUUGCAAAUAUAAAUAGUACUGUGACCAAGAGUUGUGUGCCUUCAGGUUCCACUUUGUCCCUGUCAUGGUAUGUGGUAGAAAAUGCAGGUUUUUUCCCAGGGUGUUCUGAUAAAGCUCAUUAGUGGUUCUAUCCUCAGUGGUACUAGUCCCUUCUAAAUACAGCGUUAAUGAGGAGUAAAUGGUCCCUGGGCAGUUGCUGUACUCUUUACCUAGCAUGCAGCACUUAGCAAUGCUCCAAUAUCACAGCAACUAAAUAACAUCUCACCUUACCGGUUUGCCCUUGCUAGAACAAUCUGAUUCAACUAUUACUAACACUUUAGAUAGAUAAAAUAUUAGAAAGCUAGUACAAUGUAAUUUGAAAUAACAAAUUGGAACAGGAUUGUUUGGUAAAGCAUUUCGCAGGGUGUGCAUACCUAGUGUGGCAGGCACCGACUGCAAAUCAGAACAGACAUGUCUCUUGUGACUGACUGGGGCUUCUGAUUCCAUUGCUACUAGCUGGUCUAGCAACUGCACAAACCAAACAUAACUGCUGUUAAUAUUGUAUUAAAAAAUAUAACACUUG